rnacentral:lncRNA from 1 species
AAACAAGCUUCACACAGUUUACAUCAAUCAUAUUGUUUUUUUUAUUAGUACCUGUUUCCCUGUGAUGAGAGUUAUAACUGGGAACUUUAUCAAUGGAAAUUUAAAACUGAAUAGAUUUUUCAGUCCACACUUUCUUAAGAAAAAUGGAAAAUUGCCCUAGCCUGCAGUUCAGUGGUAAACAAUCAAGAUUUCAAAAAAUAUUGUAGUUGUUGUGAAAUGACAGAAUACAGUUGGAUUUUAGAUAAUUAACUAUCAACUUUAAUCAAAUGUUUAGAUUUAGAAGAUGCAGAUCUCUUCCAUUGGUCCAAAUUGAAUCCUAAACUAAGGAAACAAUUGAUUUCAAUAUUGUCAACCUUUCUGCAUGUUCUAGCUGUUCUCUUUUAUCAUUCUUUAUAUGAAGACUAUCAAAAGAUACCCCCCCCUUCCAAAAAAAUAAAAAUAAAUAGAAACAAGGGCCGUCUUUCCCCUCAGAGCUAUUCAGCUCUUUGAUUAAAUCAAUAUU